rfam:Asian citrus Psyllid, Diaphorina citri - Florida Strain, whole genome shotgun sequence.
GCUCCCAUGGCGUAGUGGUCACUGCACGCGCCUUGCACGCGGGAGACCCGGGUUCGAUUCCCGGCGGGGUCA